GACGAACGCUGGCGGCGUGCCUAAUACACGCAAGUAGAACGCUGAAGGAGGAGCUUGCUUCUCUGGAUGAGUUGCGAACGGGUGAGUAACGCGUAGGUAACCUGCCUGGUAGCGGGGGAUAACUAUUGGAAACGAUAGCUAAUACCGCAUAAUAGUAGAUGUUGCAUGACAUUUGCUUAAAAGGUGCAAUUGCAUCACUACCAGAUGGACCUGCGUUGUAUUAGCUAGUUGGUGGGGUAACGGCUCACCAAGGCGACGAUACAUAGCCGACCUGAGGGGGUGAUCGGCCACACUGGGACUGAGACACGGCCCAGACUCCUACGGGAGGCAGCAGUAGGGAAUCUUCGGCAAUGGACGGAAGUCUGACCGAGCAACGCCGCGUGAGUGAAGAAGGUUUUCGGAUCGUAAAGCUCUGUUGUAAGAGAAGAACGAGUGUGAGAGUGGAAAGUUCACACUGUGACGGUAUCUUACCAGAAAGGGACGGCUAACUACGUG
rnacentral:rRNA from 1 species